AUUGAACGCUGGCGGCAGGCCUAACACAUGCAAGUCGAGCGGUAGAGAGAAGCUUGCUUCUCUUGAGAGCGGCGGACGGGUGAGUAAUACCUAGGAAUCUGCCUGAUAGUGGGGGAUAACGUUCGGAAACGGACGCUAAUACCGCAUACGUCCUACGGGAGAAAGCAGGGGACCUUCGGGCCUUGCGCUAUCAGAUGAGCCUAGGUCGGAUUAGCUAGUUGGUGAGGUAAUGGCUCACCAAGGCUACGAUCCGUAACUGGUCUGAGAGGAUGAUCAGUCACACUGGAACUGAGACACGGUCCAGACUCCUACGGGAGGCAGCAGUGGGGAAUAUUGGACAAUGGGCGAAAGCCUGAUCCAGCCAUGCCGCGUGUGUGAAGAAGGUCUUCGGAUUGUAAAGCACUUUAAGUUGGGAGGAAGGGCAGUUACCUAAUACGUGAUUGUCUUGACGUUACCGACAGAAUAAGCACCGGCUAACUCUGUGCCAGCAGCCGCGGUAAUACAGAGGGUGCAAGCGUUAAUCGGAAUUACUGGGCGUAAAGCGCGCGUAGGUGGUUUGUUAAGUUGAAUGUGAAAUCCCCGGGCUCAACCUGGGAACUGCAUCCAAAACUGGCAAGCUAGAGUAUGGUAGAGGGUAGUGGAAUUUCCUGUGUAGCGGUGAAAUGCGUAGAUAUAGGAAGGAACACCAGUGGCGAAGGCGACUACCUGGACUGAUACUGACACUGAGGUGCGAAAGCGUGGGGAGCAAACAGGAUUAGAUACCCUGGUAGUCCACGCCGUAACGAUGUCAACUAGCCGUUGGGAGUCUUGACUCUUAUGGCGCAGCUAACGCAUUAGUUGACCGCCUGGGGAGUACGGCGCAAGGUUAAAMUCAAUGAAUUGACGGGGGCCCCCAGAGCG
rnacentral:rRNA from 12 species